GAACUAUACCUAUAUGUACUUUGAGCUCAUGAUACUGAAAAAUAGGUCUCAACAAGUUGUUUUCAUCUCUCUUCUCACAAAAGAAGGAAGGAAGACAUGCAAGCAUUUCUUAAGAUGCAGUCAUAGACAGAAACAGAUGUGAUGCCCUCCCAUGGAAACAUUCCAUGUCCAUCCUGCCAUGUGUGAAUGCUGACAUCUAUAUCUGCUGACCUAUUCAUAUGUUGUCAGCCAUAAUUCGUUAGAACAUUGUGCUUGAUGCCUCAACAUCUGGGAGAAUAUUUUUGGUCAUCAGUCAAGUUGCAGUGCCAAUUGUGAACUCAGAAUUCCAAAGUGGGGGCUCUCACAGCAAAAAGAGAAGUCCUGUCAUAACUCUUCAGAA